rnacentral:rRNA from 1 species
GGGGAAUUUUGCGCAAUGGGCGAAAGCCUGACGCAGCGACGCCGCGUGGGUGAUGAAGGCCUUCGGGUUGUAAAGCCCUGUGGGGAGGGAAGAAUAAGGGGCGGCUAAUACCCGCACCGAUGACGGUACCUCCUUAGCAAGCACCGGCUAACUCUGUGCCAGCAGCCGCGGUAAGACAGAGGGUGCAAACGUUGUUCGGAAUUACUGGGCGUAAAGCGCGUGUAGGCGGUCUAGCAAGUCGGAUGUGAAAGCCCUUGGCUCAACUGAGGAAGUGCAUUCGAAACUGCGAGACUUGAGUCCCGGAGAGGAUGGUGGAAUUCUCGGUGUAGAGGUGAAAUUCGUAGAUAUCGAGAGGAACACCGGUGGCGAAGGCGGCCAUCUGGACGGUGACUGACGCUGAGACGCGAAAGCAUGGGGAGCAAAC